rnacentral:tRNA from 1 species
GCGGGCGUAGUAUAGUGGUAGUAUAUAACCUUCCCAAGGUUGAGGUGGCGGUUCGAUUCCGCUCGCCCGCU